UACUUCACGCGCGAGUUCGGGGUUUUCGCGCCAACAGCAAAACCCAUUCGCCAUUCGAGAGCUAGCGAGGGCGAGAAAUGACCGCAGCGAUGGAGUCUAAGGGUUUCGAGGACGGAGGCAUGGCUUCUAAUCGGAACAAAGCCAUCGUUCACGCUUUCUCCAAGCGGCCUUCUCUCCAUCCAGGCCCAAAGAAUUCAGACAAGCCUGAAGGAAAUAUUGAUCUAAAGAAAGGUGCUGCUGAGUAGUUGGUCGAUUGAAAAUUUCAAGAAAAAGGCUUCUGGAGAUGAUAAAGCUACUGAAGCAUCAACAAAGUAAUAAAACCAAUGAGGAAAAAAAAAAAAGCUUCAGAAAAAGAGUCUGCAGAGAAGGAAGCAGAAUGCUGUAUUACUAGUCUGAAUAUACAGGUUGGUGUUAUUUGCGAGGCAUGGAAGCAUCCAUCUGCUGACAGGUAGUUCUGUUUCUUUAAAGACAUUUACCUGAAAUUUUGAGAACUUCAUAGCUUUUGAUCCAUUCUACAGUUUAUUGGUUGAGGAGAUAGAUCUGGGAGAUAGCAACUUGCUCCAGGUAGCUUGUGGUCUUGCAAAGUUUUAUAGCCCAGAUGAACAACUAGGCUGGGAAAGCCUUGUUUGAUAAUAAACUCUUGAAACUGAAAUCACAAAUCAUUUUCCUUCAGUCCUUUCCAUAUCUACUUCUGAGACAAAAUUUGUCUAUUUUUAAAAGAAAAAUUAUCACAACUUGUGUGAUUAUGCAUGUUUUUGUGUAUGAAUUGUUAUGGAUUUGAAAUUUUUACACAUAUUCCAGACUACCUACUUAAAGAACUGGUUAAUUUCUUGUAUUUAUUGCUAUUUCAAGUUACUACUACUUAUCAUCCAACACUCUUUCCAUUCUAUCCCUUGUGUUGGUAUUUUGCUAGUCUUUUGUGGGUUUGGUCUGACAUACUGAGAUCGUUCUGUGAUACAUUUCCUGUCUUUUUUCUGAUGGCAUGCUAAUGUUUCUGUCUAACCUUCUUCCAGGAAUAUCUAUUUUAGCUAUUUUCUUUACGUUAUUGUUCUUUUUAGCAUCAGAAAGGAUCAAGCAUGAAUGCUAAAACUCGUUGGUCACAUGUGACUCGGUAUGAUGAUUACAUGUGUGCACCUGGAUUAUUGUUUUUUCUUAUAUUGGUUCGUUCAGCAUCUAUAUACCAAUGACAAAGGUGGACCAACGUAGAGGGAACUGCCAUUCAUGACAUCUGCUGGCCCAUGCACAUCAUCCAUUGACAAUGCAAGCAUCAAGUGAGCAGAUCAUCCUUAUCAUCGGGGGGCAUUCUACAUUAUGCUGUAUCCGUAAAUUAUCUCUUGCUUGAUGAUGUUGUCCUCAAGUGCCAGAACAAUGCAGGAAGGUGUUAAUCCUUUAGUGCCUUGAUAGCUGGCUGAUUUUGUAGGUCACAUUUCUUAAUUUCUGACAAAAGAAGUGAUUUCUUUAAAGCAUGCAUCUCAAAAUACAGGUCUUUCGAUUGACUGCAAGAUAUUUGAGUAAUUAUAAAUUUUGAU